GCUUACGGCCAUACCACCCUCAACGCGCCCGAUCUCGUCCGAUCUCGAAAGCUAAGCAGGGUCGGGCCUGGUUAGUACUUGGAUGGGAGACCGCCUGGGAAUACCAGGUGCUGUAAGCC
rnacentral:rRNA from 15 species